CCUACGGGAGGCAGCAGUGGGGAAUAUUGGACAAUGGGGGCAACCCUGAUCCAGCCAUGCCGCGUGUGUGAAGAAGGCUUUCGGGUUGUAAAGCACUUUCAGUGAGGAGGAAGGCCUUAAGGUUAAUACCCUUGAGGAUUGACGUUACCCACAGAAGAAGCACCGGCUAACUCCGUGCCAGCAGCCGCGGUAAU
rnacentral:rRNA from 1 species